ACAUCUUGUCUUCACCAUCCAUUACCACCACCACCCGCACACACACACGUCAGCAACCGCCCGCCAUCUGCCAGAGGGUCUGACGCCGCCUGGGGUCAUCUGGUGCGCCCUGAUAUAUGUUUCUUUCUUUCGUCCCCCCCCCGGACCCCUCCCCCCCCCGCCCACGCGCACACGUACAUCUAAAGUGACGACCAGCCCGGUCAUCUGCCCACGCCUCUCUCUCGGUCUCUCUAUCGCACCCUCCGGCCGCAUCAACCGAGAGGAGGGAGGGAGGAAGCCGGGGGCGCACACUCCGUCUCGUCAUCGCCCAAUCCCACCCCAACACGAAAGGGGCAUCCGCUCGCCUACACCUUCUUUCCGUCACUUAUUGUUGUUGCAUACUCUCUCCUUCACGGUCUCUCUCGCUCUCCCUCCACUUGUUCUGUCGGCGAGGUGUGGCCAACUUGUUUUCGUACAUGUGUGUGCGUGCGUGUGUGUGCGUGUGUGUCGCAUCGCCACCACCGCGUCCCCUUUGAGGGACGGGACCAUCUGCAUCUCGCCGCCCGUCUCAUUCUUCCUGUUACUCCUCUGCCCCCCGAACAGCACAGCGCCUGUUGAGCUGUGUAAGAAUCAGCCACACACUCUCGUCGCCGUCAUCGAGCCGCUUUCCCCCUCCCCCUCCCCUUCCUACGCCUCUUUGCUCGGGCUUUCUUUAUCCGAAUCCCCAUCGUUGUUCUCCUCGUCCAACCCGCUGGCGCGCUCCACUCGCGCUCUCGCCGUUUGUCACCCUGGAUACUGUGUUCUGGCUCCUCGUCGACCCGCCCCCCCCUCCCCUCCCCCCCCACGCACACACAAACCUCCUUCACUCUUCUUGUGUUCGCUUCUUUCGGCAUCUGGCUGUCCUGCUCGCCUCCGUGCGCACACACGCCGCCGUUGCACACACGGCGGAAGAGGCGACACGUGGUACGAGCUUGUGCAGCGCACAUCCAGCUUUAGCAGCCGCUGUGCAUCUUCACGUACGCCCCCCUCUCCCCCUCUUCGGUGUCGUUUCCGUGGUGGCGGCUGCGGCGGGGCUUCUGUAGGCACCUAGACGGCAUCUUUUCUCAUCGUUCCACCUGUAGCUCGUCAUGAGUGCGCACAAGAUCUUUCUGGGGCUCGCCAUCGCCGCUGGUGCGGUGCUCGCCUACCACUAUGCCUACCUUCUCGGCCUCAUCACGUACGGCGUGGCGGUGUGCGGCCUCUGCAACUGGUGGAUGAGCGCCUUCAUGCGGGCCGGCCCACGCACGUCGCGGCAGAUUCCGCAGCAGCGCAUCGCGCACUGUCAGCAGCUCUCCGCGCUGGAACUGAGCAAAGCCUACCGCGAGGGGCAGCUCAGCUGCGUCGAGGUCGUCAGCACCUUCAUUGAGCAUAUCAAGGCCGUGAACCCGUACAUCAACGCCUUGGUGUUCGACUGCUUCGACGAAGCCAUGGAAGCGGCGGUCGAGGCGGAACGCGUCUGGGCUGCGUGGCGGGAGCACAAGGACCCGAAGCGGAUGCCGAGCUGGCUGCUCGGCGUGCCAUGCACCAUCAAGGAGUGCAUGGAGUGCCGCGGCUGCCCCAACACAUCGGGCAAUCCGAACCGUCGUCGAAUCAUCUCCGAGGUCGACAGCCCCGUCGUGAAGAACUUCCGGGACGCCGGCGCCAUCAUCCUCGGCGUCACGAAUACCAGCGAGCUGUGCAUGUGGUAUGAGAGCUCCAACUACAUGUACGGCAUCACCAGCAACCCCUACGACACUCGCUGCCUCGUGGGCGGCAGCAGCGGCGGCGAGGGGGCCGCUGCCGGCGCCGCCUUCUCAACCUUCAGUCUCGGCAGCGACAUUGGCGGCUCCAUCCGCAUGCCCGCCUUUUUCAACGGCGUCUAUGGGCACAAGGCAAGCCCGCACUACAUCACCAACGCUGGCCAGUACCCAAGUGCCAAGACGUCGGCGAACCACUACAUGGCUACUGGUCCUAUCUGCCGUUUUCCGGAGGACCUCAUCCCGCUGUCACAGGUCGCCGCACGUGGCGGCUUCCGGCUCGACCCGGUCGUCUACCCGCCGUGCUCGCCGCUGAAGAAGGUGCUUGACCUCAACCAUCACCCGCUGCGCGUCUACGCGCUAGAGGACUACGGCCUCCCUGGUAUCCACGUGUCCGAGAGCCAGAUCGAGGCCGUGCACACGGCGGCAGAGGCGCUUCGUGAACGCUACAACGCCAAGGUUACCUACGUCAACGUCCGCACGCCGUCGCGCUCGACCGGCGGUGCCGUGCCGCCGGAGUUUCAGUCGUUUGCGCGCAUCUUGCCCAUGUGGGUGUCGGUGCUCACCAAGGACCCGACAGAAGCGAAAUUCAGUCUGUUCAUGUCACAGGGCCACGUAGGAGGCGUCAACUGGUGCGCCGAGGCGGUGCGUUGGGUGUUCGGCCGCUCACAUCACACGCUGCCCGCCAUCGCGCUCUGCGUACUGGAGACGGCGGAGCUGGUGAUGCCGCGAUGGCUGAAGUUCAGCUGCGACGAGGAGCUGCUCCCCUUCAAGAUGGGACUAGAGUCGCUCUUGGCCGUCGACGGCAUCAUUAUCGCUCCGACGUUUCCGUCGGCGGCGCCGCGCCACCACUUCCCGCUGUGGAACCCGUUCCAGUUCCAGUACACCGCCGCCUUUAACGUCCUGCAGCUGCCGGCGACCGCCUGCCCCGUCUGGCCCGGCUCCCUCAUGGCCAACCGUCGCAAGAGCAUCUCCAUCCACGAGGAACGCUCCAUGCGGCUGCCUCACGACUUCCACCUCCCUAAGGGCGUGCAGGUGGUGUCCGCGACGCACCAGGAUGAGCUGUGCAUCAGUGUGGCCAUCGCCCUCAAGGACGCGCUUGGCGGCUACCGCUACCCCUCAUGGGCGAUGCUCGAGGGUACGGACUACUAAGGAAAAGGGAGAACUCGCAGAAACGGAGAGACCGGACUGUAAUGGAGGAUGGACGGCGCUGGAGAAAGCACGGAAAGGUGCGCUGAGAUGGACGCGGCGCGUGUACGUCCUUUUUUGGAGGGAAGUAGAGGGGAGGCUGGCGCGGCAUGCAUUGCUCGGUGCCCAUCGCCCACAACUCCAACGCACUCGUUGUCUCACCUCCGCCGCCGCCUCCGUCUUGGAAGGAUGUGCGGCGCCUUCUUUGCCUUUCCUUUAUGGCCGCUUUAUUUGUCUCGUUGCUCCUUCUGUGUGCAGUGAUGCUGGUGGUGAUGAUGGUGUGUGUGUGUGUGUGCGUGUGAUUCUCCCCACCCGCUGCUCACAGCUAGAGAAGGAAAGAGUCGCACGUGGAGCGAGUCGCUGGGCCUCUCUUAUCAAAGAAGAGAGGGGCGGGGAGGUUUCAUAUGCGAGGGAGGGAGGGGUGGAGCUAGAGAUGGUGGAUGAAUGGUGUGGUGCCUCGCGGCGAGUUGUCAAGAGGGAGACAUCAAGGGGGAAGGGGGGGGCGUGCGAUGUCGAUUAGAGCGCCGCGGACGCGAGUGUACGAAACAGCAGAGUGCAGGUGGCCGUGUCCCUGGGUAAGGGUCACGGGGGCUUUGGGGGUGAGGUGGGAUGUGUGGAGGCUUUGUGCGAUCUGGCGGCACGUACUUGUGAUGUGGGCUGUCGUCCCUCUCGCCCACGUCGUCCUUCGCCCUCAGCAGCUUCCUCACGUUAGAGUUUGCUCUCUUCCUCCGACGCGCGUACUACUUCAUGUGCCCUUGGACACGCGUGUGGGGUGUGCGAACGACUGGAGGCGUGUCCGGGUGCGUGAUGCGCAUGUCUCUGUCGGUCCGCUGCAUCUUCGCUUGCUCAUCUUGUAUCGGUUGUUGAAACCAUCCACGUGCAGAGGAAGGCAGAAGAAGAUGAGGAGACCUUGCUCGGGUCACCCUUGUCGAAAUCACUUCUUCCCCACCCCCUGCCCCGUCCCGCGUAGCCCUCCCUCUCAGUCCUUCGUCGUCUCUCUACGCUCUCCUUCAUCCAACCUCCUCCACGUCCGCACCUUGAUCGAAGUCCUGUGAUUUUUGAUGAGACAUGUGCUGUUGAUAAUCUUGUGGGGCAUGCAUCUCUGCGAGCGUCUUCGCGAAUGGCGUUGGGUCCGUGGCUCUCUGCGCGGCUCUUCGUUUGUGCGUGCCGGUGUGCGUGAUCCUGUACGUGCCCGGGGCGUCGAUGGCGCGUGGGCAGAUCGCUCUGCUUGUUUUACGCCCUCAGGGACGCCGACUGUUAUGUAUGCUGCCUGCGCGUAUGCACGCCUGUGAACUUGUCUGUGCAUGUGCGUGCGUAUGCCUUGUAGCCAAGGUACACCAAAGUAAGGCGGAAGAGUGGGGAGAAGGUCGUCGUCAUGCAACGUGUGCUGUCGCUGUGGGUUGGCGGGGCAUGGUGCGACGGCAAGCGUGGCCAGGGAGGGAGGGGAGGGGAGCGUCGAGAUGAAGGCAAGGUUGGCAGAGUAUUUCAUGUUACCUUGCGGCGCGUGUGCGUAUGUCAAUGUGCGUUGAUAGGCGGGUGUUGGACCACACGCUCAGCCCCACCACCACUACCACCACCCUCGCAGCCCUCCUCCCCCUCUCUCCAUCGUAUCGUUCCCUCGUAGCCCCUAUCCCCUGCUCGUCGCCGACGUCUUUGCGGACGGAGCACACUCGCCACCGCGCACUUGCCUCUCACCCUCGCACUCUCGCGUCUCUUGGUGGUCAUGUUUGCCUGUGUGGGCAGUGUCUCUUUGCGUCCCUGAAGCCAUGCUGCGCUACCUCGCCCUCUUCCUCCCUCCAAAACCCUCUCUGGCACGUGCUUCCCUUGAUAACACCCGCACGCACGCACGCGUCAUACGCAUACGCGCACAAG
rnacentral:misc_RNA from 1 species